GACGAACGCUGGCGGCGUGCCUAACACAUGCAAGUCGAACGAGAUCCAUGGGAGCUUGCUCCCGGAAGAUCUAGUGGCGAACGGGUGAGUAACACGUGAGAAACCUGCCCUGGAGUGGGGAAUAACUCGGGGAAACUCGAGCUAAUACCGCAUACCCUCGGAUGGUCGCAUGGCCGACCGAGGAAAGAUUUAUCGCUCUAGGAGGGUCUCGCGGCCUAUCAGCUAGUUGGUGGGGUAACGGCCUACCAAGGCAACGACGGGUAGCUGGUUUGAGAGAACGAUCAGCCACACUGGGACUGAGACACGGCCCAGACUCCUACGGGAGGCAGCAGUGGGGAAUCUUGCGCAAUGGGCGAAAGCCUGACGCAGCAACGCCGCGUGCGGGAUGACGGCCUUCGUGGUUGUAAACCGCUUUCAGCAGGGACGAAAAUGACGGUACCUGCAGAAGAAGCCCCGGCGUAACUACGUGCCAGCAGCCGCGGUAAU
rnacentral:rRNA from 1 species